rnacentral:rRNA from 1 species
UCUACGGGUGGCAGCAGUAGGGAAUAUUGCUCAAUGGGGGAAACCCUGAAGCAGCAACGCCGCGUGGAGGAUGAAGGUUUUCGGAUUGUAAACUCCUGUUGUUAGAGAAGAAAAUGACGGUAUCUAACGAAUAAGCACCGGCUAACUCCGUGCCAGCAGCCGCGGUCAUACGGAGGGGGCAAGCGUGAUUCGGAAUCACUGGGCGUAAAGAGCGCGUAGGCGGGAUGGCAAGUCAGAUGUGAAAUCCUAUGGCUUAACCAUAGAACUGCAUUUGAAACUGUUAUUCUAGAGUAUGGGAGAGGUAGGUGGAAUUCUUGGUGUAGCGGUCAAAUCCGUAGAGAUCAGGAGGAAUACUCAUUGCGAAGGCGGCCUGCUAGAACGUAACUGACGCUGAUGCGCGAAAGCGUGGGGAGCAAACAGGAUUAGAUACCCUUGUAGUC